rnacentral:rRNA from 1 species
GAGUUUGAUCUUGGCUCAGAUUGAACGCUGGCGGCAUGCCUUACGCAUGCAAGUCGAACGGCAGCACGGGAGCUUGCUCCUGGUGGCGAGUGGCGAACGGGUGAGUAAUGCAUCGGAACGUAUCCUGGAGUGGGGGAUAACGUAGCGAAAGUUACGCUAAUACCGCAUAUUCUGUGAGCAGGAAAGCGGGGGACCUUCGGGCCUCGCGCUCUUGGAGCGGCCGAUGUCGGAUUAGCUAGUUGGUGAGGUAAAGGCUCACCAAGGCGACGAUCCGUAGCAGGUCUGAGAGGAUGAUCUGCCACACUGGAACUGAGACACGGUCCAGACUCCUACGGGAGGCAGCAGUGGGGAAUUUUGGACAAUGGGGGCAACCCUGAUCCAGCCAUGCCGCGUGAGUGAAGAAGGCCUCGG